CAAAAGUUAAACCACCGAAAUUAUCUGAAUUAUCUGAAUAGGAAAAAGAAGCAAGUUUUCCAAAAACAGAGGAAUUCGUUGUUGAGGUAUACUAUCCUAUGAGUGUUAGCAGCGCGCCGUCAAGUCCGUUACCGCAGAAACUAACUGCUCCCGCGUCAGAGACAGGAGACAGCAGGUGUUAGCACUCCCAUGUUAGCUACAUGUGAACAGACCGCGGCUCAUUUGGCCGGCUCAGGGAUGGGUGGAGCACGCUCCAGUCUCAUGGUCCAGGGGUCAGAGGUCGCAGCAUAAAAUGGAGAGUGGCUAGAUCCAGGGGCCUGGAGGCCUCGAGCGGCGUAGAGGUGGGAAAGGCGUGGGGCAGCCGGGUUUGCGGCGAGGCUCCUGCGUGGGGAUGCUGGUGGUGGCUGGGGUCCAGGAGCUGCUUGGGGAAGGCUGGGAACU